ACCUCUGCUAUCUAUUAUAUUUAGUGACAUCUAUUAAAUAUUAGACAAAUCCCAAUCUGAAAGCAUAUAUUCAAACUUAAAUCUCAGGGAAGGGAGCAAAGUCCUAAGGAUUAGGACUUUUUUAUACAAGUUGGGGUUUAGCUGCACCUUCCCUGUGUAAGAUAUUUAGUUUUAAUACCUUACAUCACGAAGCAUACAAACUGAGAUUAAAAAAUCUAUUAACUGCUCAAC